rnacentral:sRNA from 1 species
GCAGAAUACAGACUCGCGGUGAAGGCUAUGCUAAGCCCAAUGAGGGCGCUAUCGUGGAGGGUGAGACAGUACAGUCUGGGCUUUCAAUUCUCAUUCUGAUAUUUAGGCCUUGUGUGGCUUUGGGCAAGUCACUUCCCUUCUCCGAGCCUAUCUUCUUGUCCAUAAAAUGAUGGGUUGGACCAUAUUCUCUUCAUAUCACUCCAGAUUUGAGAACACAGGAGAAUCUUGGGAUGAUGGGGGUGAUGCAGGGAGGCUGAUGGCAUCCUUCCUCAGUCACCUGCCCUCUUACAACUCUGGUACACUGCCUCUCUUUCAUGCCAGUUGCACUGGAAGGGUACUACAAGGACCAGCUCUUUGACCAGCGGGAGCUCCGCUUUGAGAUUGGCGAGGGGGAGAACCUGGAUCUGCCUUAUGGUCUGGAGAGGGCCAUUCAGCGCAUGGAGAAAGGAGAACAUUCCAUUGUGUACCUCAAGCCCAGCUAUGCUUUUGGCAGUGUUGGGAAGGAAAAGUUCCAAAUCCCACCAAAUGCUGAGCUGAAAUAUGAAUUACACCUCAAGAGUUUUGAAAAGGCCAAGGAGUCUUGGGAGAUGAAUUCAGAAGAGAAGCUGGAACAGAGCACCAUAGUGAAAGAGCGGGGCACUGUGUACUUCAAGGAAGGUAAAUACAAGCAAGCUUUACUACAGUAUAAGAAGAUCGUGUCUUGGCUGGAAUAUGAGUCUAGUUUUUC